AGGACGAACGCUGGCGGCGUGCUUAACACAUGCAAGUCGAGCGGUAAGGCCUUUCGGGGUACACGAGCGGCGAACGGGUGAGUAACACGUGGGUGAUCUGCCCUGCACUUCGGGAUAAGCCUGGGGAACUGGGUCUAAUACCGGAUAUGACCUCCUAUCGCAUGGUGGGUGGUGGAAAGAUUUAUCGGUGCAGGAUGGGCCCGCGGCCUAUCAGCUUGUUGGUGGGGUAAUGGCCUACCAAGGCGACGACGGGUAGCCGACCUGAGAGGGUGACCGGCCACACUGGGACUGAGACACGGCCCAGACUCCUACGGGAGGCAGCAGUGGGGAAUAUUGCACAAUGGGCGAAAAGCCUGAUGCAGCGACGCCGCGUGAGGGAUGACGGCCUUCGGGUUG
rnacentral:rRNA from 1 species